rnacentral:lncRNA from 1 species
CAUUUAGAUCCCCUUCCACACUGUGGAAGCUUUGUUCUUUUGCUCUUUGCAAUAAAUUUUGCUGCUGCUCACUGUUUGGGUCUGCCCCGCCUUUAUGAGCUGUAACACUCACCACGAAGGUCUGCAGCUUCACUCCUGAAGCCGGAGACCACGAACCCACCGGGAAGAACAAACAACUCCAGACUUGCCGCCUUUAAGAGCUGUAACACUCACCGUGAAGGUCUGCGGCUUCACUCCUGAAGCCAGAGAGACCACGAACCCACAAGAAGGAAGAAACUCUGGACACAUCUAAAACAUCUGAAGGAACAAACUCCAGACACACCAUCUUUAAGAAUUGUGACACUCACCACAAGGGUCCGCGGCUUUAUUCUUGAAGUCAGGGAGACCAAGGACCCACCAAUUCUGGACACACUACUAAGUAGUCAGAAGUGACACACGGCCAACUCAAAAUAGUUUGGGGAAAAAAGGAACUGCAUUGGCUGAAAGAAUCGAAAGAGUGAUUGAAAACCAACGGUAGGAAGUAUGGUUAUUCAACACAACUUCAGGAAUAAUUGAAAGCAGGGAAGAUCUGAAGAUA